ACACACACACACACACACACACAAAUUUUGUUAUAUGCCAUUCAGAUUUUUAAUUGGCCAAGUAUUGUGUAGAAAAUCUUCAAGGAAUCCUUGAGAGAAUCGAAUUUGUGGAGGGUGUUCUAAAUAGAAACCUCAAGUGAUGAAACUGGAUGAGAGAGAGAGAGAGAGAGAGAGAGAGAGAGAUGAAUUCAAAAUUCCUAAACCAUUAUAUUGUGCUUUUCAAUAUUUUGAUGUCAUGCUGAUAAGUGUAUAUACUCUGUUCAUUUGAGAUAUAAAAUUAGUAGCACAAAUUGAUUACUUUUUUUUAUUUAUUUUAUCUAAAUAGAUAGUUAGCAAUUGUUUACAUGUUUUAUCCUGUACUUUAAGCUUUAUACUCAUAUUGUAUAUGUUGCUUUUGCUUCUCAGAAAGCCAUUUCAAAAGUAAGUCUUGGGUCAUCAAAUGCAUCUGGUUCUUGCUCAUCAAAAGAGCAUCAUAAUCAACAAUAUCCAGACCGAGAGGAUUGAAGGCAAUGGGAAGCAACAUGGAGAGAGAUUCAGAAUGACGGUGAAGGAUGGAUGGGGGUUGGGUGUUUUGGUUCCCUUUCUUCUUAUUUUGUGUUAAAACCCUUUGUAUGUAAGGUAGUAAUUUUUUUAUUGAGAAUUCUAAUUCAAUUUUUAGAUAUGUGUUUUGUGGAUAAUGGUAAUUGGAUA